AGAUUUAUGGGGAUAGCAAUGUCAGAGCAUUCACCUGCCCUGGUGUUCAGUCUAUCAGUGCUGCACAACGAUCACGAAAAGAAGUGGCAAAACUGUCAACAAGUUGUAAUAAGAACAUUGUUUUGGUUGUGCUUCAGCUCUGCUCCCCAGCGUGGAUGAAUGUGGUUUGGGGCACCGGUGUACACUGGAUACAGGAAAUCUUAUCAGAGCGAAUGGACAAAUAAAUAAUGAAAGAAAGGAAAAGACGGAUAUCUGAAAACAUGUCAUCUAAGCAGGAAACCCCACACCAACCUGACAGAGCUUGAGAGGAUCUGCAGAGAAGAAUGGCAGAAAAUCCCCAAAUCCAGGUGUGCAAAACUUGUCACAUCAUACCCAAAAAGACUUGAGGCUGUAAUCGCUGCCAAGGGUGCUUCAACUAAGUACU